UAGGGAAUCUUUGGCAAUGGACGGAAGUCUGACCGAGCAACGCCGCGUGAGUGAAGAAGGUUUUCGGAUCGUAAAGCUCUUUUGUUAGAGAAGAACGUUGGUAGGAGCGGAAAAUCUACCAAGUGACGGUAACUAACCAGAAAGGGACGGCUAACUACGUGCCAGCAGCCGCGGUAAUACGUAGGUCCCGAGCGUUGUCCGGAUUUAUUGGGCGUAAAGCGAGCGCAGGCGGUUCUUUAAGUCUGAAGUUAAAGGCAGUGGCUUAACCAUUGUACGCUUUGGAAACUGGAGGACUUGAGUGCAGAAGGGGAGAGUGGAAUUCCAUGUGUAGCGGUGAAAUGCGUAGAUAUAUGGAGGAACACCGGUGGCGAAAGCGGCUCUCUGGUCUGUAACUGACGCUGAGGCUCGAAAGCGUGGGGAGCAAACAGG
rnacentral:rRNA from 1 species